UAAUACGAGGGGUGCAAGCGUUAAUCGGAAUUACUGGGCGUAAAGCGUACGCAGGCGGUUUGUUAAGCAAGAUGUGAAAGCCCCGGGCUCAACCUGGGAAUCGCAUUUUGAACUGGCAAACUAGAGUCUUGUAGAGGGGGGUAGAAUUUCAGGUGUAGCGGUGAAAUGCGUAGAGAUCUGAAGGAAUACCGGUGGCGAAGGCGGCCCCCUGGACAAAGACUGACGCUCAGGUACGAAAGCGUGGGGAGCAAACAGGAUUAGAUACCCUGGUAGUCCACGCCGUAAACGAUGUCUACUCGGAAUUUGGUGUCUUGAACACUGGGUUCCCGAGCUAACGCAUUAAGUAGACCGCCUGGGGAGUACGGCCGCAAGGCUG
rnacentral:rRNA from 1 species